AAACGUAUUGCCCGCCUAAGUUUAAUACCUUAUGGCCUUUUAAAACUUUUUUUCUUACGUCUCCUUUUGUAUGCAAGUUGUUCAGCUGAGUGCAAGCCAUUUCUAAACUCCUCUGCAACUCUAAAUCUGUUUUAACAGACUCUUGUCUGAGACCAAUGUUUCCUCCUGAUUUUAAAACCUGUCAAUUCCUAAUAACGGGCACGGAGGGCACAAAGUGGAUUUUCUAUCUAACUUUCAUAUGUCAAACUAGUUUUCCUGUUCCUCAACCUUUUUUUAAAAGACCAAAUCAGUAUUUGAAGUCAUGCUAAACUAGUUGUUGUUAUGUUAUGGGGUUUAUUUAAGCCUUUAAUUGUCCUAUUUGCAUACCAUUUAUAUGUUACGUGUUUUUUCUGCCAUUCUAGUAUUUUUACCUUUGAAACUCUAUAUAUAUCCUAUCUCUCACCCCCUUCUUAGGAUUAGAAGUCCUAAUACCCCAGGACUAAUAAGUUGGGACGGGUAUUGGCAUGCAAUAAGUAAACGAUGCCAACGUGUUCAAAUACCUCAACGGGGUGGGAAUGGUAGAAUAUGGAGAUGAUGACGAUACGAUAAUACCAUAAAGCGACCUCUCUUUGGAAAUAUGUGCGCAUAUUGUAUUGAAUGAUCCAUAUUAUAGUUAAACCUAGGACCCUUCUCUCUUUUUUUUGCUUUAUUUAAAUGUUCUUCUGUAGUAAUACUUUUCCAAAUCAGUCUUCUCUUUUUUUUUUUAAUUUACGACCUUCCUUCUUCUUUAAAGCUUUUCAAGUUGUGUAAAUGUUAUAUAUGUGAACCUUUAUUUGUUUAAUUGCUACAUCUCUUUAUAAAGUCACAAUUAACACGGCUGGGAACACACUAGUGG
rnacentral:lncRNA from 1 species